AAAUGGUACCUGAAGGUUCUGAUUGGAGUCUCUGUGGCCUUCAUCCUGCUGUUCCUCCUCCUCCUCCUCCUCCUCCUCAUCCGACACCGGCGUCAGGGCAAAUACAGGAAGUCAGAUGCUGCCGUGAAAGACACCCAGCCUGAGGAGGGGGUGGAGCUGCACCAUCAGGCUGCUGCAUCUGAAGCCCCCCAGGACGUGACCUACGCCCAGCUUAACCACUCUACCCUCAGACGGGAGACGACACCUCCUCCCUCCCA